rnacentral:rRNA from 1 species
GGCGUGCCUAACACAUGCAAGUCGAACGCGAAAGGGACUUCGGUCCUGAGUAGAGUGGCGAACGGGUGAGUAACGCGUGGGUGACCUACCCUCGAGUGGGGGAUAACGUUCCGAAAGGGACGCUAAUACCGCAUGACAUUCUGGGUUUGAAGACCUGGAAAUCAAAGCCGGGGACCGAAAGGCCUGGCGCUUGAGGAGGGGCCCGCGUCUGAUUAGCUAGUUGGCGGGGUAAUGGCCCACCAAGGCGACGAUCAGUAGCCGGCCUGAGAGGGCGGACGGCCACACUGGGACUGAGACACGGCCCAGACUCCUACGGGAGGCAGCAGUGGGGAAUUGUUCGCAAUGGGCGCAAGCCUGACGACGCAACGCCGCGUGGAGGAUGAAGGUCUUCGGAUUGUAAACUCCUGUUGAUCGGGACGAAAAGCUUCGACCUAAUACGUCGAAGACUGACGGUACCGGUUGAGGAAGCCACGGCUAACUCUGUGCCAGCAGCCGCGGUAAUACAGAGGUGGCAAGCGUUGUUCGGAAUUACUGGGCGUAAGGGCGCGUAGGCGGCCUUCUAA